ACAGCGCAAAAUUCCCCCUAAUUUUGGUACGAUCUGAGCUCAGGCACUAGGCGACUGACCACAGCACCUACUGUUAGCGAGGGGGGAGAAGCUGCUGCCUGCGAGUUUGCUGUAGGAGAAGCGCAGACAGAGGAGAGCUUACGUUUGAGCAGUUGUUACCCUCCACGGCUAAACAAAGCACGAAAUCGGUUUCAGUUAUGUACUGAUGAACACAACAAUGGACAUGAGCUUCUUUCAAAGAAAAAACUCAGGAAGUCCAGGUUCUCCAGUCUGACCAUGACGCCCUGCAUGACCAAGAUGACCUCGAAGCCCUUUGGGCCCACGAGAUCCCUUUGGCCCCUGCAUACAGUGAUCACUCCAUUCAUUUGGAGCAGACAAACUGAGGUGGUGGAAGAGGAGGAGGGAUGAAGACUUCACAUUUUGAAACUGACCACCUGCUACCUCUACUGGAUGGGAAUCCUGCACAGGCAGACAGUACAAAAAUCAUGUUAAUUACUGUGUUCCCUGUGUAUUCUGGGAAAGGAGGGCACUGAGAUCAAUCCGAUCUAUAGUCAUGACAUAGUGAAGGUUUUAGGCAGUAUGUGAAGUGAAAAUCUUAACAAAGAAGGUCAUGAACACUUUCUAAAUACAAAUUACAUCUUGUGUUUGUGAUUUUACGUACCAUCCAUGACAUCAUGUUA
ensembl:lncRNA